rnacentral:lncRNA from 1 species
GGGAAAAUGCUGAAAUUCAAAGAUUUCUCGAAUUUGGAACUGCAUAAUACCCAAAUUCUUGUUCCAAAAAAGAAAAGUGCAAGAAAUGAAGAGCAUCCAAAAGAACCAACCAAACCACUAGCUUCGCCGGCACCCCUCCAAAAUACGUGGACAUUUUGCAAUAAACUAAAGGAAAAAGACCCCCAAAAACUUUCAAUGCCAUUGAAGAUUAUAAGUCCUUUAUAUAUUGCAGAAUUGGAGACUUCUAAGUAAAAAAAAUCACAAAGAAUCACAUGAAGCUUUUGUCUCAAUACAAUAUGUAAAAGAUCAAAGCAAAAAGACAUGCAACUCCAUUGAAAGGCUUAUUUAUUUUUUAAUAACAAAACUAAAGAAUCCAUUAAAAUUGAUCUUAAAAAUCAGCAGCUAAUUGGUGCCCAUAAAAACGAAGCAGCAAUAAUCUAAUAUCUAGUCAUGUAAUUAUAUAUAUUGACAGUAAGAAGAAAAAUAUCAUCACUCACUACCGAAACAGUACUUCAAAACCUAACUCAAAAUCAUAAAAUUAACCAAAAUAAAUAAAUUUCUAAACAUGCAAGCAACCUAAAAUAUCCAACAAUAGCUAUAAAAUAUAAAAAAUGCCAAAACAUAAGGUAAUAAAUUAAAAAUCAAAAUUAAAGCGAAACUUUAGCACAAUACGGUAGUGUGCAUAAAUAUACAGUGAAAUUUGCAGAGUGCUAAAGUUGUUAGCCAACCAGAUUAGAACGAAGUGGCAACAACAGCGACAGCAAAGAAAGAAGGAAGCAGCAGCUCACAUUUAUGCCAAAAGAUCCGAGUGCUAAAGUUGUUAGCCAACCAGAUCAGAAGGAAGUGGUAGUGGCAGCGGCAGCGGCUGCCAAGAAAGAAGGGAGCAGCAGCAGCAAAGGUUUUGUGCAGCGGCAGCGAAAAAAUUGAUUGUUGGGUAGAAACUAGAAAUUAGGGUUCGAGGGUGGGGCUAUUUAUAUUUUUUUAUUUUUUAAUGAAAAACUGAUUUUGUUUUAUAUUUUUUAAUAUAAACUUUAACUUAUAAAUAUGAUUUACUUAAAUUGAAAAAAUUUAAUAUGCAUAAAUAGAUUUUGCCAAAAACUUUAAUAUGCAAAACAAAUUUCUUAAAGCAUAUAUAUAGACUACAGAUUAUGUACACAUUUUAAUAAUAAAUGUCUAAUAUUGAUAACAAGUAUCUCAGUUGAGUUCAUUUUAAUCAAUUUAAAUAUUGGCCAACAAAGUAAUAAUGGUUACUAACAACAUAAAAAAAUAAGUUUUAUUAUAAAUCAUUAAUUUUGAUACUACUAAAUUCAAUCGAUAAAAAAUUAGCAUUACAUUUAUGGUGCGUUUACUUCAUGGAAUGGAAAUUGGGUGGAAUGGGAAUGAGUUGGGAAUGAAAAUGGGUCGAGAAUGAGAAUAGACUAGAAUAUGAAUGAGAAAUGAGAAUGAGAUUCUAAUAUUUACUUAGCUAAAAUAAAUGAGAAUGUAAAUGUGUUGGAAUGUCAUUGAUCUAUUUAUUUGGCAAAAUAAAUAGGAAUAAGAAAUAAAAAUGAGAAUCAAUUUACCAAAAUACCCAUAAUAUUAAAUAAUGUAAUUUUCAUUAACUAAAUAUAGUAUAACCUCUAUAAAUUAAUAAUGUCGGGACCAUAGAAAUUUAUUAAUUUAGAGAGAUAUUAAUUAAUCUAUAAAUUAAUAAAUUAUUAAUUUACAGAGUGUGUUCACAGUACAAAGAACUAACAUUUAAUUAAUUGAAAAUUCAUUGUAUUUUACAAAUAUAAUCAAUAGAAUUUAAAUAAAUUCAUCAAAUAAAUAAUGUAUACUUGAUUAAAUAAAUUCAUGAAUUUUACUAAAUGUAUUCAAUGAACUAAACUAAAUGUUAGUUAUUAAAUUGUAUUAAUUGAAUUUGAACUAAUUCAUCUAAUGUACCUAUCUACUUGAUUAACUAAAUUCAUGUAUUUACAUAAAUUUAUCUAAGUGUAUUCAAUGAACUAAAAUAAAUGUAAUUUCAUUAAACUGUAUCAAUUGAAUUUGACUACUUAUCUACGUAAUUAAAGAGUAUUCAUAUAUUUACAUAAUUUAGCUAAGUCAUAUAUCCAAUGAACUAAAUUAGAAAUUAAAUGUAUUCAAUGAAUUAAGUUAAAAUUAUUGUCUAUAUAAACAAACACAAAGUAUUCUUUUAUUUCAUAGUAACUUGUUAACUUGUUAAAAAUUAAAGAUGAGAUUCAACUAGAUUUAAAUUUCAAGAAAAAACAAGUUAGAAUAGACUCAUAUUUUAAUAAAUUGACAUAGUCUGUCACAUUUGUAAUUUCAAAGUAUUUAUAAUUUCUACAAUUAUUAAUUUAUGAUAUAAAUGUGACCAUAGAGUUAUAUAAGAGUUCUCUGAAAAAUUAUCUUAUUAAUUUAUCGAAAUUAUUAAUUUAGUUUCAGGGCCUAAGUUGGGACUGCAAAAAAUUAUUAUAUUAUAGAGAUUAUUAAUUUAUCGAGUAUUAAUUUAUAGAGGUUAUACUGUAUUUGUAUAAAUAUUAUUAUAAAAAUGAUAUUAAUUAAAAAAAUAAAAUUAAUAAUAAUAAAUGUUAAUAAUGAUAAUACUAAUAAAAAUACUAAUAACAAUAAUUAAUAAUAAAGUUAAUAAAAUUUAAUAAUAAUAAUAAUGACAUUUAAAAUAAUAAAACUAUUUGUGCUUGAACGAGGAUAAUUUGGAAAAUAUGAAAAAAUUAUAGAGAUACAAAAUUUUGUGGGACCCACACAUUUUAUUUAUAUUCUCAAAUUACAUUUUACUAAGUAAAUAUGUGUUUCAUUUACAUUUCUUCAUUCUCAUUUCCUAAAUACUCAAGUAAACACACCAUUAAUGUAUGGACAUGUCUAUUAUAAGUAUUUAAGAAAAUAUUAUGUCUAUUAUAAGUAUUUAAGAAAAUAUUAUCAUUUGAAAAUAGUGAAUCAAUAUAACCAUCAAAAUAAUGCAGUAUAAAAGAAUAAAUUAAUUUCACAUAGGUUUGUAUGAAUUAAUUUGCAUAAGAGAUUGAGAUACAUUAAAUCUGCCUAUAUAUAUUAUAUAAUAAUAUUGGCCACUAGCAAUAAAUUAAUAAUAAAAAAAUAAUAUUUAAUUGAUAAUUAUAAUGUUUGGUAUAAUUAACAAGAUAAUUAAUUUAAAAAAAACAAGAUACUUUUUUGAUAAUUAUCCAAAAGUUAGACAAAAAUUAUUCUCGUAUUAGUGGGUAGAGGUUUGAAUCACUUUAUAUGUAUUAUCGGAUUGAUUUCUUUCAAUUAUUUGAAAAUAAAUCUGAUUAAUUAGUGAUCUAAAUGUUUAGAUUGCAUUGACCUAUACAAAAUUAAUAAAAUAUUAUGAUAAAUUUUUAUGCAAAAAAUUACUAAAUUUAUAAAUGUAUUAAAAUAUUUAAUAAUUUACAAUUAUAUUUAUUUAUUUAUAUUUCAAUAAUAUUUGCAGUAGUAAUGUCACAUAUUUUGAGGAAAAAAAAAUAUAAGUUUCAUUUUUUAAAUAUAUUUUCAUGUAAAGUUGAGGGAGUAUUUGGUAGUUUUAUAAUUUAAAUUGAUAACCUUGUUAUAUACUUAAAAUAACGGUAGCUGUAUGAUAUUUACCUUUAAUUUUUUCACACUAAUCGAUUACAAUAAGAGAUAACCGGUGGCCGGUUAUAAAAUUAAUUAAAAAAAUAAUAAAAAUUGGCUGUACCAGAUACAGCGAUGUAUUGCAGGCCGACCCCAAAAUGAUUGACCUCUUAGAAAGUACUUAACGUUGCACACGUGUACAAAAGUUGUUUAGUAAUUAUUCUGUAUGAAAUUGCGAAAUUGCGAAAUUGCGAAAUUGAAACACUCAUUGGUUAGCAACCACGUGAUUCAUACUCUAUCCCGGUCUCAUUCCUCAGGUUGAAUAAAUUAGAUAUGAAACAUGAAUAAUGGGGUUAACCUAAUGCUAAAUAUCUAAAAUAAAUAAGAAUAAAUUAUUUUCAGAAUGUCUUUUAAAAUGAUUUAUUGCAUUAUUUUAUAGGAACAUGAUUCUCUCCUUAUCUGAGCAGUGCUUUUAAUGAUCUUUUAACAUGUAUUUUUUUAGUAGUAGUGUAUGGGUAAAAUUUAACUUCUUUUACUUUUUUAUUUAUUAAUAACCAAUCAGUGAUUGAGUUAUUUACUCAGAAUAUGAUCAGAUUAUCAAAGAAUCCUGAUCCUAUUUUAUAACCCGCGUAGUGAUAAGCACCACUUUUGAUGAAUCUUUUGGUUAAUGUGACGCUUCUAAAUUCAACGGCCAUAAAGAUUGCAGCAAAGUUACUUAUUUCACUGCGAAAGCACCCAAUUGCAACCAUUUUGGAUCUUGCAGUUAGAAAUUCACUGUUACAUCCAUCCAUCCAAUGAAAACACAAAUCAAGAAGAAAUAAGAGUUAAUUUUGUAUCCUUCUAUUGGAUUCAAUAUUUUACAUAUUUAUAAUACAUUUUACAUAGACCAAAUAAUGUUGUACGCGCCACUACACAAAUUUCAGAGAGAAAAACUGGAUUACCAAGUAAUCAAUAAUUCUUUUCCCGAGAAAAUUAAGAGCCACCAUUUUCCCCAAGCCAUGAGGAUUGAAGAAAGUGGCAUGUAAGAUUGUAAGGUAAUAAUGAUUGGCCUGCAAAUCCAGCAAUAUAUAUAUAUAUUUGGUUUAAUAUAAUAACACUACCGAUGAAUUAAUCUCACGGGAUAAAAUCACCCAAAAUUGUUAAAUUAUACUCCCAUUAUAUCAAAUCUCAUCAUCGAUCUAAAUCAACCCCUCUAUAUUUACAUGAUCAGAAAAACUUUCACGCGUCGGUUCCGUUCCCCUCCCCUCCCCUCUUGAAGUUAAGAAACUAAUUUUUAUGGAGAGCUCUGAUUCCGCCACGUGUUAUUAACACCCCGUCCGUCACGCAACUCGCUCUUUGAUGAUCAGAAGAGCAAUAAUUAAUCAGACAUAUCGUGAUCGUGCCAGCAGAGGAGCAUAGAUAUGCAGCGUCCGAGGAUGUAGAAUCGGGUCUUCUGUUGCUUCACCAUACGCGCACAGCGCUUUCGAAUCUCAGUUUUCUUGCUGUGGCUUUUAUGACGGCGGGAUUCGGAGGUCAGGUAAAUGUAAGGAACGGACAUGCUGCUGCUGGCGGUGGUGGAAGAUGUUGUCGUGGGCAAAUUUGAUUAGCGAGAGCUUCUUCCUACAAGCGGCCUCUGCUGCCGCUGCUGUUUUUCGUUUGUGGCGGUUAUAUAGACGGGACGCCUGAUGGGGGAGGCUAUGGACGGCGUGGUCCCAUGUUUGAAGUUUAAUGUCAAUUGCAUGGAAACUUACACUUUCACGAUUUGACAUUACUAUCCCCAUUUAAAAUACCUUCAUUUCCUAUUUUUCACCCUCCAAUUUUCUUGUGGUUGAGAAUUUAAUUACUAUCUUUUUUUCGCCUUUCUAAAAUUAAGAUAUCUUAAAUGUGAGCCUCCAAAUUUUGAUUUCGGAAAUUUAUAAAAGCUUAAAAACUAAUUACAAUGUAAUUUUUAUUUAAUUUAAAUAGUUUUUUG